rnacentral:lncRNA from 10 species
CCAGAGGCCUAAGUCAUACGAUUGCCAUUUGCUCAUGGCAAAUGCCAACUCUGCAAGCAACCAAUCCAUCCUUUGCAAGAUGAUCUCUAACUUACCAGAAGACCCCAGGAGAUGAGUCGCAUGCCUGAUGCCCCACAUCCACUUAAUUAUGACCUAGGACACAGUGGCAGAGCUGCAAUGAAGAGGGUGGAGAACCUGAUAUCAGAGUACCUGAGUGCAAAUCUUAGAUGUGUUACUUACUAGCAAUAUAAACUUGGUAAGGUGACUACAUUCUUUGAGCCUCGUUUAAUAAGAAACUCUCUUAUUAUUUAGUUGGAAGUAAAAAUUAAUUUAACAAUUUCCUAAACUAGGAAAAAAUUUAUCACUUUCUUAUAAAUUGAAAAUGCCCAUGCUCUAUUAUAAACCAACAAUUUCACAGAAUAGAGAAACCUUUGCUUGUCUGCAUCAGGAGACAUGCAUGUGUAGCUUGAAGGUAGAAGCAAAAAGGUGAAAACAAAUAUUUAUCAUAGGGGAAUGGAUAAAAAUAUUGUUUGAAUAUGUGUAAUUAAAUUUAAGAACAUGUUAUUAAAAAUGUAUACAUUAUGAGUAUGAUGUAUGAUUUAUACAGAUGACACAAUCCAUAUAAAUAUUGGACAAUUCAAAAAUAACAUAUUGAUUAUAGCUAAAUGUGUAAUAAGAGACAUUUAAAAUAAAGGAAAAACAUUUAUACAAAAGAAAUAUGUUUGGAGGUUUCUAUUAAACAUGUACCUGUCUCAUAACCCAGCAAUUUUAUUUCAUUUCUACACAAGAUAAAUAAAUAUUUAUGUUUCUGGAAAGACAUGGCUAAGAGUGCUCAUAUUGGUCUUAUAUAUAAUAGCCAGACACUAAAAGUAAUACAAAUGUUUAUCAAAAGAAAAAUGGCCAAGCUCACUGUGGUAUAUUUAUAUAAUGAAAUGCUACACAGAAGUAAAGAUAAUUGACUAUCAGUAGACAAAAACAUGCUUAAAUGUUAAAAGAUUAUAUUGAGCAAAAUAAGUGAGGCACAAAGGAGUAUAUACAAUGCUUAUUCAAAAUCCAUGAAAAAACAAAAUUAUUGUAUGAUGAUAGAAGUCAGCACAGUAGUUACCUUGUGGUUCGAGUGAGUAUUGAUUGAAAAGGUACACAAGAAAAUUUUCUGGAGCAAUGAAAACACAAUCUUAUCUAGAAAAUAGUUAUAUGGUUGUAUACAUUUGCCAAAGAUAGGACUGUAUGCUUAAGAUUUGAGCAUUUUAAUGUUCAUAGAUUAUACUGAAUGUUUGUAGAAUAAAAAGAUUGUAUAACUUCUGUAACAAAUAAUUUUACCAUGAAAAUGCACAAAAAAACUACC